rnacentral:lncRNA from 1 species
UUACAUAGGGUUCACAGAUUGGUUCAAUCAGGUCUGAAAUGUACAUAGUACCAGAGAAAGGCUGGUAGCCCAACCCUAAUAUUAUUAUACAAAUAGACUUCCCAGUUGAUUGGGGUUAUCUUGUCUGCUCCUUACAAUAUACGUGGCCCAGAAAGAGAAGGGAAGGUGGAGCCGCCAUCUUGAACAUGUCUAGUCCCCUGCUGGAAUGCAGUGGCAGGAUCUUGGCUCAUUGUAACCUCUGCCCUCAAGCUCCAACAGCACUCCCACCUCAGCUUCCCAAGUAGUUGGGACCACAGAUGUGCCUGUGUGCAUGGGAUUGCUGCUGAGAAUCCAGAAUCACCGGAACAGAACAGGAAGUUAAGAAAGUGAGAGUUUAUCAAUAUGUGAGUAUCAUCCUAGGAAACAAAAUUUAAUGCAUCUACCCUGUGAGAUCAUACUAAUUCUCUUCUAGAAUAGCUUUUGAAACAUGAAAAAUUUUCUGACUACAAAUAAAUUAAGUAGAAAUUUUAGAGUUUCCAGGAAGACGGUGGGGGAAAAAAAGCAUCA